UUUUUAGUAGGUUAGGUUAGGGAAUGUUACAUGAUUGUUGCAAGUUGUUGAAUAUAGUAAAUAUGUUUACACUGGGCUUAUUUUAAGUAAUUUCUACUAAAAAUCAAUCCGCAUUUUUAUUUUUCUGUACUUCAUUGUGAAAUUGAUCAACGCAAAUUCAUGAUGGUAUCGUAAAUAGUUCAGUUUGAAAGAUUUAAUUUACACUGAAUUCUCACAAUUGAGACAUGGCGGGAGUUUUAAAAACAAAUGUUGACGUUCAACAAGAAAUACAAGAAAUAUUUUUGGCAAUGGGACAAAUGGCUUCACAAAAUGGAAUUGUUGACGCCAGGCAUCAAACAAGGUUGUUGGAGGGAGUAGGAGGAGUGGUGAGACUGGCAGCUGCACCAAACUAUGGCUUGAUUCUGGAUACUGGUUCACCUGAGCAUCCAUAUACUGUGCCUCUAACUCUGGUUGAUACAGCUAAACACCUACCUCAGUGGAUUUCAGUUGUUGGUCGACAAGUAUGGAUACACAAGCUCUUGGUUGUUUGUGAACUUUUUCAGAUACAAGAGAAAAAUGAAGAACUACAAUUUGUGAACCUGUUAAUUAUUUGGGACGAUAUUAGAAUUUUGAAUCAGACAUUUGAAGGAAAUCCAUUGAUACAUCUGUCUGAAAAAUGCUCAAGUUCAAUUUUGUCACAAGAUAUAGUAACAAAGCCUGAGAGGAAAGACUGCAAUGUCUGCCGGGUAAUGGUUCAUCAUGUGAGCACUGUAUUUUAUGUUGUAUCAGAAAACUUGGCUCAUUGUCUAGUCUUCCUGUCCUACACCAACUGCAAGCAACUGGAAGUAAAACUUUGGGUUGUUCUGAAAGCUGAGCAAGUUGCUUGGAGAGAGUUCCUUGUACCAAAUAGAGAAUAUGUGAUUGAAUUUCCUGCAGGGACAGAGAAAUACUACUUUGAUAAGUCCAAUAAACCACUUGAUAAUAUGUUUCCAUCGGCCAACAAGGAACUUGGUGUAAUCUUUCAUCAUAAAACAUUAUUUUCUACUUUAAAUGGGUGUGAACUUCCAUGUGGGUCUAAAAUCUUUUUGAGCUCUAAUACGCAAUUCUCAAAAUUUGUCUGCCAGUUUACCAAAGAUCCAUACAGCAAUUGGUAUAGUGCUAGUGAAGCUGAACAUGCAAACAUAGAUCUGGUAACUUUGUAUGGAGUAGUAGACAGUAUUCUGUACAAUGAAGAUGUGGGUUUCAAGUCAUGUAAUCUGUGCAUCCGUGCAAAACCUAGUGAACCCCUAUUGACCGAAUCAAAACUUACCAUUAAUCAACCUUGGACUAACCCUUGGAUGUCAGAACUGUCUUUGGAAGCAGAAGACCUGUUGGAACUGCCCAAUGUUGAAGAGAACAAGUUGAUAAUGAGAACAGGAGUACCAGGUAAUAUGGUGCAGAUUAUUAAACUUAGAGAUAUAGUGACUGGGAGUGAACAUAGUGUUUAUGUCAAACACAACUACCUUCCUCAAUCACAACAGUUAUUCAGGCUGUCCCCAGGGGUGGGGCUUUGUAUUACACAUCUGAACAGACGCUGCUCAAACGCUGGAAAAUAUUACUUCAUCUCUACCGUGCUGUCCAACUUUAGAGUGUUGUCAUACCAGGACAGUGAGAGCAAUAGUGAGAGCUGGGGCCUGUAUGGGCUAUGUCACACCUCCCCUAACAGUAAAGAGAAGAUAUGGGGAGUAUUGGAGACCUUGAACAUCACUAAGAUUGCCGUCACAGCCAGGUGUUCUUACUGCAGUGCUGAGUUCUUCCAGAACUCUUGUAGUCGAGAAUGUGCUGUUCCAGACCGAUGUACUACUUCAGCCUAUGCCAUUGCUAAGCUGCAAAUAAUUCACAAUAAAGAGAGGAUACGUAUGGAGAAAGUUCUUGUCAAGGACAAAUUGGUCCCGAAACUACUGUGUAUUCCACCAAACAUAUGGCAGAUGUUUCUCACAGCAGCUGCUAAGGAAGAAAUAGUCUGCUUCGUAAAUUCUCGACCACCAACUACUGGAUCUCUUCAACCACUUGACUUCAAUGCUUUGUUUAAAAUGUACUGCAAAAUUCCUAAAAAGAAUGGAAAGUUUUAUAUUUCUGUCAGGAAGAUGAGUUCCUUAUCAAUAAAAAGGAGAGGCUGACACCCUUUUAAGCCCUAUUCUACCCGUUCUUGUGAGCUACUAGCCUGUGCAAAGAUCUUAUAAAACAGAAUAUUGGGAGGGGAGUCGAUAUAGUACAACGUCGAUGAUACUCAUAAAAAUAGUCACAGACAGGAUUUGAUCUUGUGCUAUCUUGAACUCAGAUGACAUCUGACAUCUUAAACUGUGAGGCCAUCGGCUCACUAUAUAGUAAAGAACCGUUCUACUACUGCAUUCAAUUGGAACCUAUAGAUAAGUAUAGAUUAAACAUUGUUGCUGAACUGGCUAAAAAGAGUUUAAAAAUGAAGACGGGUACUUGUGAACAGUCAUAAUAAUCCUAAAAGUGACAUGUUACUGUGAUACAUAAUUUUAAUCUAAUAAAUGACCUUAACAGAA